rnacentral:lncRNA from 1 species
CCAGCAGAGACGUGAGAGAGAACACAGUGAACACAAAUUGUGACCAGGGGAAGAUCCAAUGUAAAGGACACCAGGAAAAGACUACAAACAGGACAUUUUUAUCAUAUGAUGGGGCUCUGAGCACAGCUUUUAGUGGGUUUCCUAUUAUACAGCCCUGGCUAAGUGCGAGGAUUGUUAAACAGCCAUGGAUGAGUGAAGCUGUAGUUACAGAGCUGCUGUGCAGAUCGUCUCUGAAUGUUCUCGACAGUGAGACAGUGCUGUACAGUCCUCAUUGCUGCCCGAUAGCUGGAGACAUUGACCACACAGGAGCCGCUGCUUAUAAUGAACUGCAGGGCGAGUUGGAACCCACUUCCAAAAGUUUUCAGCUGAUGGUUGUUUCAAGGGAGAUGCAGCGAUCACUGUGUUAAUGUGCAGUCUUGUUACAUUUUAUAUAUGAUUAUGUUACAUAUUAUGCAAGAAACACAACUCUAAAUUCAAGUUAUAUUUUAAUGAGGUGAAACUGAAGAUCCAUCUAGAUUGUUCGUUCCCAUAGAAAUAGGAUCCUCAACUCCUCUUAUAUUUGUUUGUCAAAUUUUAUUUUGUCUGUUAGAUGUAUUGUACCUUUGUCUUUUUACUUGUACCAAUUGUAACCAUGAGCAGCACGGCAGAAUGUGUUGGUGCAUUACAAUAAAAGUAUGAUAAUAGCUCAUCUUGGACAAAAGUAAUGUCUGAAGCUAAAUCUUUCUGGAACGUUUGCCUUUGGACUCAGACUGUGAGUGUGUCUCUCCCAGGGAAUUAUGUGUCUGUCGGCUAGAGCUAUGUGUGAUCAUGAAGCUGCUGAGUGUAGACUAACAUUGCUCUGAGUCUGUAUCUGUCUGUCAGUGUGAGUUGUGUUUUACAGCCCUGGAUAAAUGAAGCUGCCAUUCACCUUGUCUAUUUGGCACUCAGCCUCCGUCCAGCAGCCCUUUCCCAACAGUCAAUUUGAAGCAGAGACAAAGAAAAGGGAAAACUCAUUACAGAACAUUACAGGACUUUUAGGACUCAACCUCUCAGUUUAAGCUUCUCAACUUGGGUUUUAAUAACCAGCUUCUUUGUUAGAGUCCACCAUGUUUUAGUAAUUAAUCUCUAUAUCAUUCUGUGGAUUAUCUUCAGGCCUGUUCUACAUACUAAUAUUAUGUGCGGAAUAUAAUUCAGAUUGCCUUCCUUCUCUACAGGAUAUAUUGAGGUUUACAUUUCCUGAAUGACUCAUCGAGAGCGUUUGUUUUUUGUUGCAAAAAGCUUCCUGCUUUUGUUGCCAGUGAAGGCAGCUCCACAGGACUACAUGCUGCGCCUCCGUUCCACGCACAAUUUUUGUAGAAUCUUUUUAUGCAAAGACAUAUUUCUCUAAUGUGUAUAUCUCAAUGUAAAUCUCCCUCUUUCUUGGUGACUAGCGAUGCUGCUGAAAGUCUUAAACAACACAUGACUUUGUAUUAAAAAUACAUGUAUGUACGUAGCGGGGAAUGUGGUGCGACUAAAAGAAAGACUACCCACUUAUCCCCCCAAUAAUGACAGACAAUGCAUAUUGGAUGAAACAGGUCACAGCAUUUAUUAAAACUUACAACUGUAGGACACAUCCGAACUUCAUUCUUUUCCUCUAAUUCCAAUAUAGAUAAACACAUAAAUAUAUAUACAUACCAUAAUUAACAAUAAAUUAACACUUAUAGCCCUACAGCCUUCAACUUAAAUAACCGUCCUUGCCAACGAACUUAACUAGGUGCCUAUGCACCAAAAACUUUACCCACUGGUGUCUCGCCUCCCCCCUCGUCCAAACCAAAUUCCCAUCAUCUUAAAUGCUCUAACCACCAGCCGGCUCUUAGCUCGGUGGGCACUUCCAAUUCGGUAACUUGAAAGUUUACCUUACAGAGCAGGGGAGGUUGAGACCCACCUUGUCCAUCUCCUGACAUUCCAUCUGCUCCCCAACCCUGUUGGCAAGGACAUGCUCCCCGCUAGCUGUGACAAAACAAAACAAAAAACAAAACAAAAACAAAACAUAAAUUAGGGUGGGUGGGAGGGAAGUUGUUUGCUGGCCAGAAUCCCAAAAGGCACUGAGGUAAGAUGAUCCCUGCCCCACUACAAACCCAUAACCACUCCCCUAAACACAUACAGCCAAUCACUAGCACCGUCCCCACACUCAUACAUGUGCCCUUGUACGUUUAGCUGUGCUGACUCCCCAGGGCCUCAAUUACUUGGAUUUUUGAUGUCAGUUAUUGACUUUGUAAGUGGUGUCAUAUUCUGGAUAAAAGAUAGUCAAAGAGCAGAACUGUCUCCUUUCUUAGCUCUGCCACCACUUAGGGCACCCCUUCUUGUUUAGAGCAGGAAUGGCCAUGACUCCAGGGGCCCUGUGAGGGGUCGACGUUGAGACUCGUAUUACCACCCAAACUGCGCAUUACUUUUUAGGAACUGUUCCAGUUCUCAUCUUUGAGUGCUGACCGAGGUACAACACAUUUCUAGAGACCACCAAUAUUAUAUUACAAACUUUCCCCCUCUAAACUAAGACAGUUUGAAAUCCAACCUUGAAAUUUGGAGCGUCAAAUAUCAUAGUUUUUUCCAGUGUAUUUAUAUUGCACAAAAAACAACUUCACAAAUUAUCAGCUUAUACAAAGUUUAUUUUCUCAAAGUAGCAUUCUCAGAGUAAGAAAUAUUGCGAGAUAAUUCUCGGUUGUACGUGUUAUAUUCAUAUUUCUUGUCCACUGUUCAGUUCAUAGUCUUUGGUUCAUGGUCCCUUAAUGACUAUGUGAUUUUGAUUGUGAGAUCCUUUUGGAAUCCCGUGUAAGAAUGCCACGAACAUCUCUGUAUCUAAGAGUUAGAAGUUAGACGCGAUGUUGCUUUCUCAGAUUCCAUCUUCUCAUUAAAGAGUAAAGUAGAUCAACCCGUAGUAAAAUCUCCUGAAUUUUAGCUGUAGCGAUAGCACGAGCACACGCUGUAUCACCCUGCAGAGAAGAAUAGAGAAAUUAUUAUACAAAUGGUAAAAGUAGAGAAGGUAGAAUUUGGGGAAGGCAAAUGGGGAGACAAUGCUAUGUCUGACACUAUCCUCAGCUGUAGGAUUGUUUUGACUCGUUAUGUCACUUGCUGAGAAUAAAUGCGCGUGGGAAACUUAUCCUGAACUAGAAGAUGCUGGAAUUAGGGGUGGAGACGGGGUUGGCCAGAAAGUAUUUGCAAACAUUAUUAAUACCUGCUUUUGGACAAUCUCAUUGAGGUUACUGAAAUAUCUUGUUAUUUCUUCGAGGAUAGGAGGAUUUUCAUCAGUCUUUGUAAACUGAAAACAUGAAAGAAUUUGUUAUUGAUACCUUCAUUAUCAAGCAAAGACAGAUUCUGUUACUUAAUAAAUGACUUAAUAGCAUAGUUUAUAAAAUACCAGCAUAUUCGGCAGUGCUGUUCAACUUACACACAUGGCCAAUGCAUUUAUAUGGUAACAAAGAAUUUGUUGGAACUCAUCCCAGGCUGCAAGCUUAUAACCGAUUGUCUUCUGUUGUAACCACGGGGAGUUUCUUAUUUCAAUCAGAACCUUUCUCACAAUGGCUGCAGCUAACCCCUGGAAUAACAAAGACAGACUUUAACAAGUGCAUUAAGGUGAAUACAUUCAGUAUUAAUCAAAUUAAAGCAUUCAUUGUCUUCUUUCAAUGGUUGUGUAGAGACAGGUCAAUACAGCAGGGUCACAAUAUGGUUCUUCAUGAUUAAUAAUGGACUACCUGAGAUUCCUUAGAUGUUACUAAGAUGUUGAAGAUAUUGGGAAGGUUUGGUAGCUCGAGGUCAAAUGGACAAACUUCAAAAACAUCUUCAUCAGAUCUCUAGAAAUAAAAACAGAUUAGUUAGUGAACGUGAAAAAAAUAAAUCAAAAUUUCUAAAUUCAAGAAGUGAAAAGAGAGUGUUAUCCCGAACACACACCAUGGGAAUGAAGCUCUGGAGCAGAUUUCCUAUCUUAGUCUCCUGUGUCGGACUGAGCUGUUUGCAGUUUGGCAAAAAUAUACCCGAAGAAAAGUUCAGCAAAAUUAGAAACAAAAAUUUCAUUUUUAGACACAUUUUCGAAGGAUCUUAUUAUUCGGCAGGAGGUCUGUUCUAAGUUGGGGUCCAUCGUCGCAAGUAUUUAUAACCAGGGUUUAACUUUGGAUUUGUUCUGUGUGGAAUAUCUACACAAUUACUUUAUAUACUUUUAUUCUGUGAAGAGUAUAUUCAACUUUGUUCAAGAUAUUGUUUUUGCUCGCAGAAUAUAUUGUUGUUUGUACUGUUAUUAUGUGACUGCUAUGCUUGCUUGCUUUCAGGUAGUACGAGGCGAGGCUUAGUGGGAAGUCCCUGCCAGUAUCAAUUCUCACACUAGACUGAAAGCUCAGACAUUAAACAUUCACCAGCAGAGACGUGAGAGAGAACACAGUGAACACAGAUUGUGACCAGGGGAAGAUCCAAUGUAAAGGACACCAGGAAAAAAUUACAAACAGGACAUUUUUAUCAUAUGAUGGGGCUGUGAGCACAGCUCUUAGUGGGUAUCCUAUUAUACAGCCCUGGCUAAGUGCGAGGAUUAUUAUACAGCCAUGGAUGAGUGAAGCUGUAGUUACAGAGCUGCUGUGCAGAUCGUCUCUGAAUGUUUUCGACAGUGAGACAGUGCUGUACAGUCCUCAUUGCUGGAGACAUUGACCACACAGGAGCCGUUGCUUAUAAUGAACUGCAGGGCGAGUUGGAACCCACUUCCAAAAGUUUUCAGCUGAUGGUUGUUUCGAGGGAGAUGCAGCGAUCACUGUCUUAAUGUGCCAAACGCAGGCAGUCUGGUUACAUAUUAUGCAAGAAACACAACUCUAAAUUCAAGUUAUAUUUUAAUGUGGUGAAACUGAAGAUCCAUCUAGAUUGUUCGUUCCCAUAGAAAUAGGAUCCUCAACUCCUCUUAUUUGUUUGUCAAAUUUUAUUUUGUCUGUUAGAUGUAUUGUACCUUUGUCUUUUUACUUGUACCAAUUGUAACCAUGAGCAGCAUGGCAGAAUGUGUUGGUGCAUUACAAUAAAAGUAUGAUAAUAGCUCAUCUUGGACAAAAGUAAUGUCAACACCUGAGCCGCGUGUGUCAUCAGGCAACACAUUAGCCCAGUGCCCGUCACCAGGCAACACAUGAGCCCAUGUGGCGCAUCACCAGGCAACACAUGAGCCCCGCGCGCGUCACCAGGCAACACAUUAAGCCCCGCGCACGUCACCAUGCAACAAAUGAGCCCCGUGCGCAUCACCUCGCAACACAUGAGCCCCGUGCACAUCACCUCGCAACACAUGAGCCCCGUGCGCGUCACCAGACAACACAUUAAGCCCUGCGCGCGUCACCACGCAACACAUGAGCCCCGCUCACGUCACCUGGCAACACUUGAGCCGCGCGCGUCACCAGGCAAGACAUUAGCCCAGUGCCCAUCACCAGGCAACACAUGAGCCCAUGGGGCGCGUCACCAGGCAGGACAUGAGCCGCGCGCGUCACCAGGCAACACAUCAGCCCCGCGCGCGACACCAGGCAACACAUGAGCCAAGCGCGCGUCACCAGGCCCCACAUGAGGCCUGCGCGCAUCACCAGGCAAGACAUUAGCCCAGGGCCCGUCACCAUGCAACACAUGAGCCCCACGCGCGUCACCAGGCAACAAAUGAGCCCCACGUGCGUCACCUCGCAACACAUGAGCCCCGCGCCCUUCACAAGGCAACACAUUUUUGCCUGGUGAUGCACGCAGGCCUCAUGUGUGGCCUGGUGACCCGCGCUGGGCAGGCAACAAAUGAGCCCCGUGCGCGUCUUUUUGCAACACAUGAGCCCCGCGCGUCACCAGGCAACACUUGAGCCCCGUGUGUGUCACCACGAAUGAGCCCUGCGCGUGUCACCUUGCAACACAUGAGCGCAACGCCCAUCACAAGGCAACACAUGAGCCGCGUGUGUCAUCAGGCAACACAUUAGCCCAGUGCCCGUCACCAGGCAACACAUGAGCCCAUGGGGCGCAUCACCAGGCAACACAUGAGCCCCUCGCGUGACACCAGGCAACACAUUAGCCCAGCGCCCGUCACCAGGCAAAAUAUGAGCCGUGUACGUCACCAGGCAACAAAUGAGCCCCGCGCGCGUCACCUCGCAACACAUGAGCCCCACGCGUCACCAGGCAACACAUGAGCCCCACGCGUCACCAGGCAACACAUGAGCCCCGCGCGUGUCACCACACAGCACAUGAGCCCCGUGCCCGUCACUAGGCAACUCAUGAGCCCAGCGCGUGUCACAAGGCCACACAUGAGGCCUGCGCGCAUCACCAGGCAAAAAAUGAGGCCCGCGCGCAUCAUCAGGCAAAAAAUGAGCCCCGCGCGCGUCAUCAGGCAAAACAUUAGCCCCGCGAGCAUCACCAGGCAAAACAUGGGCCGCGAGCGUCACCAAGCAAAACAUAAGCCGCGCGCGUCACAAGGCAACAAAUGAGCCCCGCCACACGUCACCAGGCACCAGCUCGCGGGGGCUCAUUUGUUGCCUGGUGAAGCGCGCGGGGCUCAUAUGUCAUCUGGUAAUGCGCGAGGGGCUCAUGUGUUGCCUGGUGACGUGCGCGGGGCUCAUGUGUUGCCUGGUGACGUGCGCGGGGCUCAUGUGUUGCCUGGUGACAGGCGCAGGGCUCAUUUGUUGCCUUGUGACGCGCGCGGGGCUUAUUUUUUGCCUGGUGAUGCACGCAGGCCUCAUGUGUGGCCUGGUGACGCGCGCUGGGCAGGCAACAAAUGAUCCCCGUGCGCGUCACUUUGCAACACAUGAGCUCCGCGCGUCACCAGGCAACACUUGAGCCCCGUGCGUGUCACCACGCAGCACCUGAGCCCCGCGCGUGACACCAGGCAACGCAUGAGCACCGCGUGCGACACCAGGCAACGCAUGAGCCCCGCGCGCAUCACCUCGCAACACAUGAGCCCCGCACGUCACCAGUCAUCUCAAAAGCCCCGUGCGCGUCACCAGUCAACACCUGAGCCCCACGUGCGUCACCACGCAGCACAUGAGCCCCGCACGCGUCACCAGGCAACAAAUGAGCCCCGCGUGCGUCACCAGGCAAGGCAUGAGCCCCGCGCGCGACACCAGGCAACGCAUGAGCCCCGCGCCUGUCACCAGGCCACACAAGGCCCCCGCGCAUCAUUAGGCAAAAAAUGAGCCCCGCGCACGUCACCAGGCAAAACAUGCGCCGCGCUCGUCACAAGGUAACAAAUGAGCCCCGCCGCACAUCACCAGGCACCAGCACGCAGUGGCUCAUGUGUUGCCUGGUGACGUGCGCGGUUCUCAUAUGUUGCCUGGUGACUGAACCUCUAUGUGAUAUUCAUUAGUAUGGUAGCAUGAUCCAUAGAUCACACCCCAGUAUAUUGAAAUCUGCACAUAAGACGUCAAGUUAAAGAGAAAUAUUAAAGUUAAAGAGAAGUGAAAAGAAAGUGUUAUCACUAACACACAUCAUGGGAAUGAAGCUCCGGAGCAGAUUUAUACUGUUAUUAUGUGACUGCUAUGCUUGCUUGCUUUCAGGAGAGGCGAGGUUUAGGGGAAGUCCCUGCCAGCAUCAACUCUCACACUAGACUGAAAGCUCAGACAUUAAACAUUCACCAGCAGAGACGUGAGAGAGAACACAGUGAACACAGAUUGUGACCAGGGGAAGAUCCAAUGUAAAGGACACCAGGAAAAGACUACAAACAGGACAUUUUUAUCAUAUGAUGGGGCUGUGAGCACAGCUCUUAGUGGGUAUCCUGUUAUACAGCCCUGGCUAAGUGCGAGGAUUAUUAUACAGCCAUGGAUGAGUGAAGCUGUAGUUACAGAGCUGCUGUGCAGAUCGUCUCUGAAUGUUUUCGACAGUGAGAGAGUGCUGUACAGUCCUCAUUGCUGGAGACAUUGACCACACAGGAGCCGUUGCUUAUAAUGAACUGCAGGGCGAGUUGGAACCCACUUCCAAAAGUUUUCAGCUGAUGGUUGUUUCAAGGGAGAUGCAGCGAUCACUGUGUUAAUGUGCCAAACACAGGCAGUCUGGUUACAUAUUAUGCAAGAAACACAACUCUAAAUUCAAGUUAUAUUUUAAUGUGGUGAAACUGAAGAUCGAUCUAGAUUGCUCAUUCCCAUAGAAAUAGGAUCCUCAACUCCUCUUACAUUUGUUUGUCAAAUUUUAUUUUGUCUGUUAGAUGUAUUGUACCUUUGUCUUUUUACUUGUACCAAUUGUAACCAUGAGCAGCAUGGCAGAAUGUGUUGGUGCAUUACAAUAAAAGUAUGAUAAUAGCUCAUUUUGGACAAAAGUAAUGUCUGAAGCUAAAUCUUUCUGGAACUUUUGCCUUUGGACUCAGACUGUGAGUGUGUCUCUCCCAGGGAACACAUGAGCCAGGCAACGCAUGAGCCCCAUAGGCGUCGCCGGGCAACACAUGAGCCCUGCCCGCGUCACCAGGCAACAAAUGAGCCCUGUACGUGUCACCUUGCAAAACAUGAGCCCCGCGCCCGUCACCACACAACACAUGAGUCCCGCGCACGUCACCUGGCAACAAAUGAGCCCUGCGCGCGUCAUCUCGCAACACAUGAGCCCCCUGCGUCACCAGGAAAUACAUGAGUCCCGUGAAUGUCAGCAGGCAACACAUGAGCCCCGCGCGCGUCACCAGGCAACACAUGAGCAACACAUGAGCAACACAUGAGCCAACAGAUGAGCCGCGCGCGUCACCAGGCAAGACAUUAGCCCAGGGCCUGUCACCAGGCAACACAUGAGCCCUGCGCGUGUCACCAGGCAACAAAUGAGCCCCGCACGUGACACCAGGCAACAUAUGAGCCCAGUGCGCGUCAUCAGGAGACACAUGAGCCCCGCACGCGUCGCUGGGCAACACAUGAGCCGCGCGCGUCACCAGGCAGAACAUUAGCCCAGGGCCCGUCACCAGGCAACAAAUGAGCCCCGCGCCCAUCACAAGGCAACACAUGAGCCCCGCGCCCAUCACAAGGCAACACAUGAGCCGCGCGCGUCACCAGGCAACCCAUUAGCCCAGCGCCCGUCACCAGGCAAAAUAUGAGCCGCACGCAUCACCAGGCAACAAAUGAGCCCCGCGUGCGUCAUCUCACAACACAUGAGCCCCAUAGGCAUCUCCGGGCAACACAUGAGCCGUGCGCGUCACCAGGCAAGACAUUAGCCCAGGGCCUGUCACCAGGCAACACAUGAGCCCCGCACGCAUCACCAGGCAACAAAUGAGCCUCGUACGUGUCAUCUCGCAACACAUGAGCCCCGCGCCCGUCACCACAGAACACAUGAGUCCCGCGCACGUCACCUGGCAACAUAUGAGCUCUGCUCGCGUCACCAUGCAAAACAUGAGCCGCGCGCGUCACCAGGCAACAAAUGAGCCUCGCACGCGUCACCAGGCAACACAUGAGCCCCGCGCGUGACACCAGGCAACACAUGAGCUCAGUGCACUCACCAGGAAACACAUGAGCCCCGCGCGCGUCACCAGGCAACACAUGAGCAACACAUAAGCCAACAGAUGAGCUGCGCGCGUCACCAGGCAAGACAUUAGCCCAGGGCCUGUCACCAGGAAACACAUGAGCCCCGCACGCGUCGCCGGGCAACACAUGAGCCGCGCUUCACCAGGCAGAACAUUAGCCCAGGGCCCGUCACCAGGCAACAAAUGAGCCCCGCGCCCAUCACAAGGCAACACAUGAGCCCUGCGCCCAUUACAAGGCAACAAAUGAGCCGCGCACAUCACCAGGCAACACAUUAGCCCAGCGCGGGUCACAAGGCAACAUAUGAGCCCCGCGUGCAUCACCAGGACACACAAGAGCCCCGCGCCCAUCACCAGGCAACACCUGAGCUCCAUCCGUGUCACCAGACAAAAUAUGAGCCGCACGCAUCACCAGGCAACAAAUGAGCCCCACGUGUGACACCUCGCAACACAUGAACCCCGCACCCGUCACCAGGCAACACAUUAGCCCAGCGCCCGUCACCAGGCAACACAUGAGCCGCGCGCGUCAUCAGGCAAGACAUGAGCAACACAUGAGCCAACAGAUGAGCCGCGCGUCAUCAGGCAAGACAUGAGCAACACAUGAGCCAACAGAUGAGCCGCGCGCGUCACCAGGCAAGACAUUAGCCCAUGGCCUGUCACCAGGAAACACAUGAGCCCCGCACGCGUCGCCGGGCAACACAUGAGCCGCGCGUCACCAGGCAGAACAUUAGCCCAGGGCCCGUCACCAGGCAACAAAUGAGCACCGCGCCCAUCACAAGGCAACACAUGAGCCCCGCGCCCAUCACAAGGCAACACAUGAGCCGCGCACAUCACCAGGCAACACAUUAGCCCAGUGCGCAUCACAAGGCAACAUAUGAGCCCCGCGUGCAUCACCAGGACACACAAGAGCCCCGCGCCCAUCACCAGGCAACACCGGAGCUCCAUCCGUGUCACCAGACAAAAUAUGAGCCGCACGCGUCACCAGGCAACAAAUGAGCCCCACGUGUGACACCUCGCAAAACAUGAACCCCGCACGCGUCACCAGGCAACACAUUAGCCCAGCGCCCGUCACCAGGCAAAAUAUGAGCCGCGCGCGUCACCAGGCAACACAUGAGCCGCGCGCGUCACCAGGCAAGACAUUAGCCCAGGGCCCGUCACCAGGCAACACAUGAGCCCCGCGCACGUCACCAGGCAACACAUGAACCCAGUGCGUGUCACCAGGAAACACAUGAGUCCCGUGCCCGUCACCAGGCAACACAUGAGCCCUGCGUCCGUCACCAGGCAACAUAUAAGCCGCGCGCAUCACCAGGCAAGACAUUAGCCCAGGGCCUGUCACUUCGCAACACAUUAGCCCAGCUCCCGUCACCAGGCAAAAUAUGAGCCGCGCGCGUCACCAGGCAACACAUGAGCCGCGCGCAUCACCAGGCAAGACAUUAGCCCAGGGCCCGUCACCAGGCAACACAUGAGCCCCGCGCACGUCACCAGGCAACACAUGAACCCAGUGCGUGUCACCAGGAAACACAUGAGUCCCGUGCCCGUCACCAGGCAACACAUGAGCCCUGCGUCCGUCACCAGGCAACAUAUAAGCCGCGCGCAUCACCAGGCAAGACAUUAGCCCAGGGCCUGUCACUUCGCAACACAUUAGCCCAGCUCCCGUCACCAGGCAAAAUAUGAGCCGCGCGCGUCACCAGGCAACACAUGAGCCGCGCGCAUCACCAGGCAAGACAUUAGCCCAGGGCCCGUCACCAGGCAACACAUGAGCCCCGCGCACGUCACCAGGCAACACAUGANNNNNNNNNNNNNNNNNNNNNNNNNNNNNNNNNNNNNNNNNNNNNNNNNNNNNNNNNNNNNNNNNNNNNNNNNNNNNNNNNNNNNNNNNNNNNNNNNNNNACAUGAGCCCCGUGAGUGACACCACGCAACACAUGAGCCCAGUGCACGUCACCAGGAAACACAUGAGCCCCUCGCGCAUCAUCAGGCGACACAUGAGCCCCGCGCGUCACCAGGCAACACAUGAGCCCAGCGCGCAUCACAAUGCGACAUGAGCCCCGCGCGUCACUAGGCAACACAUGAGCCCAGCGCGCCUCACCAGGCAACACAUGAGCCGCGCGCGUCACCAGGCAACACAUUAGCCCAGCAGCCGUCACCAGGCAAAACAUGAGACGCACGCGUCACCAGGAAACAAAUGAGCCCCGUGCGCAUCACCUCGCAACACAUGAGCUCUGCGCAUCACCAGGCAACACAUGAGCCCCACGCACAUCACCUGGCAACACAUGAGCCCCUCGCGUCACCAGGCAAAACAUGAGCCGCGCGCGUCACCAGGCAAUAAAUGAGCCUCGCGCGCAUCACCAAACAACACAUGAGCCCCGUGAGUAACACCACGCAACACAUGAGCCCAGUGCACGUCACCAGGAAACACAUGAGCCCCUCGCGCAUCAUCAGGCGACACAUGAGCCCCGCGCGUCACCAGGCAACACAUGAGCCCAGCGCGCAUCACAAUGCGACAUGAGCCCCGCGCGUCACCAGGCAACACAUGAGCCGCGCGCAUCACCAGGCAACACAUUAGCCCAGCAGCCGUCACCAUGCAACACAUGAGUCCCGCGCCCGUCACCACGCAACACAUGAGCCCUGCGCGCGUCACCAUACAACACAUUAAGCCACGCGCACGUCACCAUGCAACACAUUAAGCCCCACGCACGUCACCAUGCAACAAAAGAGCCCCAUGCGCAUCACCUCGCAAAACAUGAGUCCCGCGCGCAUCACCAGGCAACACAUUAAGCCCCGCUCGCGUCACCACGCAACACAUGAGCCCCGCGCCCGUCACCUCGCAACACAUGAGCCCCGCCGUCACCAGGCAACCCAUGAACCCCAUGCACAUCACCAGUCAACACCUGAGCCCCGCGCGCAUCACCACUCAGCACAUGAGCCCCGCACGCGUCACCAGGCAACAAAUGAGCCCCGCGUGCCUCACCAGGCAACACAUGAGCCCUGCGCGCGUCACCAGGCAAAACAUGAGCCGCGAGCAUCACCAGGCAAAACAUAAGCCGCUCGCGUCACAAGGCAAUAAAUGAGCCCCGCCACACGUCACCAGGCACCAGCUCGCGGGGGCUCAUUUUUUUGCCUUGUGACUCGCGCGGCUUAUGUUUUGCCUGGUGACGCUCACGGCUCAUGUUUUGCCUGGUGACGCGCGAGGGGCUCAUGUUUUGCCUGAUGACGCGCGCGGGGUUCAUUUUUUGCCUGAUGAUGCGCGUGGGCCUCAUUUUUUGCCUGGUGAUGCGUGCAGGCCUCAUGUGUGGCCUGGUGACGCGCGCUGGGCUCAUGAGUUGUCUAGUGACGGGCACAGGGCUCAUGCGUUGCCUGGUGUCGCCCACGGGGCUCAUGCGUUGCCUGGUGUCGCCCACGGGGCUCAUGCGUUGCCUGGUGUCGCGCGCAGGGCUCAUGUGUUAAUGUGCCAAACGCAGGCAGUCUGGUUACAUAUUAUGCAUUUAAACAUUUGUUGACAUUUUUUGCACAGUAGAAAAAAAUCCAAAGAUAUUUGAUACUGAAUGUGGAAUGGUGGCAGUUAAUGCUGUCUUAUAUAAGGGAAAAUGCUUAAUGCAAUGUAUGGUGUCUUUUCUUUGUUUCAAAUUGACUGCCUGGAGCUUCAUUUCCAUGGUGUGUGUCAGUGAUAACACUCUCUUUUCACUUCUCAUAUUCAACACAUUUUUCUCUUUAACAUGACGUCACACGAAUCAUAAAGAAAGGGAAUCGGAUACAAAGUUCUACCAGCAUGGAGUGCAAACAGGCUCUUAGAGUGUGAUGUCACUAAUAUGAUGACUGUUUAAUGGAUAUUUUUGGUGGACACUAAUAUGAUGACUGUUUAAUGGAUAUUUUUGGUGGACUUCUGAAGCCAUAAGAUGUUGCCCGUUGUGUGAUGUGUGUGGUGGCCUUUGUACAUUACUGCUUACACCUGACUACAUUUAAAAUGUUUCAAUCAGUAUCAGAAAAGAUGGUAGAGUAGUCACUAUUAAAUUCUUUUUGUAGUUGUUGUAAAUCUGUGUUUAUUGAAUUUUUGCAUUUGUGAUAAAACGAAAUCAAAGGUACGCUGGCCGCAAUGUAGACAUAUGUUUCCAUUAAAUAUACAGUUAUCCAUGGUAUACAUAUACAAUCACUCUGUCAGCCAUUUAACAGUAGCCAGUUUGUGGUUCAGAACCUCUAUGUGAUAUUCAUUAGUAUGGUAGCAUGAUCCGUAGAUCACACCCCAGUAUAUUGAAAUCUGCACAUAAGACGUCAAGUUAAAGAGAAAUAUUAAAGUUAAAGAGAAGCUCCGGAGCAGGGAAUGAAGCUCCGGAGCAGAUUUAUGCUGUUAUUCUGUGACUGCUAUGCUUGCUUUCAGGAGAGGCGAGGUUUAGGGGAAGUCCCUGCCAGCUUCAACUCUCACACUAGACUGAAAGCUCAGACAUUAAACAUUCACCAGCAGAGACGUGAGAGAGAACACAGUGAACACAAAUUGUGACCAGGGGAAGAUCCAAUGUAAAGGACACCAGGAAAAGACUACAAACAGGACAUUUUUAUCAUAUGAUGGGGCUCUGAGCACAGCUUUUAGUGGGUUUCCUAUUAUAAUGCCCUGGCUAAGUGCGAGGAUUGUUAAACAGCCAUGGAUGAGUGAAGCUGUAGUUACAGAGCUGCUGUGCAGAUCGUCUCUGAAUGUUCUCGACAGUGAGACAGUGCUGUACAGUCCUCAUUGCUGCCCGAUAGCUGGAGACAUUGACCACACAGGAGCCGCUGCUUAUAAUGAACUGCAGGGCGAGUUGGAACCCACUUCCAAAAGUUUUCAGCUGAUGGUUGUUUCAAGGGAGAUGCAGCGAUCACUGUGUUAAUGUGCAGUCUUGUUACAUUUUAUAUAUGAUUAUGUUACAUAUUAUGCAAGAAACACAACUCUAAAUUCAAGUUAUAUUUUAAUGAGGUGAAACUGAAGAUCCAUCUAGAUUGUUCGUUCCCAUAGAAAUAGGAUCCUCAACUCCUCUUAUAUUUGUUUGUCAAAUUUUAUUUUGUCUGUUAGAUGUAUUGUACCUUUGUCUUUUUACUUGUACCAAUUGUAACCAUGAGCAGCACGGCAGAAUGUGUUGGUGCAUUACAAUAAAAGUAUGAUAAUAGCUCAUCUUGGACAAAAGUAAUGUCUGAAGCUAAAUCUUUCUGGAACGUUUGCCUUUGGACUCAGACUGUGAGUGUGUCUCUCCCAGGGAAUUAUGUGUCUGUCGGCUAGAGCUAUGUGUGAUCAUGAAGCUGCUGAGUGUAGACUAACAUUGCUCUGAGUCUGUAUCUGUCUGUCAGUGUGAGUUGUGUUUUACAGCCCUGGAUAAAUGAAGCUGCCAUUCACCUUGUCUAUUUGGCACUCAGCCUCCGUCCAGCAGCCCUUUCCCAACAGUCAAUUUGAAGCAGAGACAAAGAAAAGGGAAAACUCAUUACAGAACAUUACAGGACUUUUAGGACUCAACCUCUCAGUUUAAGCUUCUCAACUUGGGUUUUAAUAACCAGCUUCUUUGUUAGAGUCCACCAUGUUUUAGUAAUUAAUCUCUAUAUCAUUCUGUGGAUUAUCUUCAGGCCUGUUCUACAUACUAAUAUUAUGUGCGGAAUAUAAUUCAGAUUGCCUUCCUUCUCUACAGGAUAUAUUGAGGUUUACAUUUCCUGAAUGACUCAUCGAGAGCGUUUGUUUUUUGUUGCAAAAAGCUUCCUGCUUUUGUUGCCAGUGAAGGCAGCUCCACAGGACUACAUGCUGCGCCUCCGUUCCACGCACAAUUUUUGUAGAAUCUUUUUAUACAAAGACAUAUUUCUCUAAUGUGUAUAUCUCAAUGUAAAUCUCCCUCUUUCUUGGUGACUAGCGAUGCUGCUGAAAGUCUUAAACAACACAUGACUUUGUAUUAAAAAUACAUGUAUGUACGUAGCGGGGAAUGUGGUGCGACUAAAAGAAAGACUACCCACUUAUCCCCCCAAUAAUGACAGACAAUGCAUAUUGGAUGAAACAGGUCACAGCAUUUAUUAAAACUUACAACUGUAGGACACAUCCGAACUUCAUUCUUUUCCUCUAAUUCCAAUAUAGAUAAACACAUAAAUAUAUAUACAUACCAUAAUUAACAAUAAAUUAACACUUAUAGCCCUACAGCCUUCAACUUAAAUAACCGUCCUUGCCAACGAACUUAACUAGGUGCCUAUGCACCAAAAACUUUACCCACUGGUGUCUCGCCUCCCCCCUCGUCCAAACCAAAUUCCCAUCAUCUUAAAUGCUCUAACCACCAGCCGGCUCUUAGCUCGGUGGGCACUUCCAAUUCGGUAACUUGAAAGUUUACCUUACAGAGCAGGGGAGGUUGAGACCCACCUUGUCCAUCUCCUGACAUUCCAUCUGCUCCCCAACCCUGUUGGCAAGGACAUGCUCCCCGCUAGCUGUGACAAAACAAAACAAAAAACAAAACAAAAACAAAACAUAAAUUAGGGUGGGUGGGAGGGAAGUUGUUUGCUGGCCAGAAUCCCAAAAGGCACUGAGGUAAGAUGAUCCCUGCCCCACUUCAAACCCAUAACCACUCCCCUAAACACAUACAGCCAAUCACUAGCACCGUCCCCACACUCAUACAUGUGCCCUUGUACGUUUAGCUGUGCUGACUCCCCAGGGCCUCAAUUACUUGGAUUUUUGAUGUCAGUUAUUGACUUUGUAAGUGGUGUCAUAUUCUGGAUAAUAGAUAGUCAAAGAGCAGAACUGUCUCCUUUCUUAGCUCUGCCACCACUUAGGGCACCCCUUCUUGUUUAGAGCAGGAAUGGCCAUGACUCCAGGGGCCCUGUGAGGGGUCGACGUUGAGACUCGUAUUACCACCCAAACUGCGCAUUACUUUUUAGGAACUGUUCCAGUUCUCAUCUUUGAGUGCUGACCGAGGUACAACACAUUUCUAGAGACCACCAAUAUUAUAUUACAAACUUUCCCCCUCUAAACUAAGACAGUUUGAAAUCCAACCUUGAAAUUUGGAGCGUCAAAUAUCAUAGUUUUUUCCAGUGUAUUUAUAUUGCACAAAAAACAACUUCACAAAUUAUCAGCUUAUACAAAGUUUAUUUUCUCAAAGUAGCAUUCUCAGAGUAAGAAAUAUUGCGAGAUAAUUCUCGGUUGUACGUGUUAUAUUCAUAUUUCUUGUCCACUGUUCAGUUCAUAGUCUUUGGUUCAUGGUCCCUUAAUGACUAUGUGAUUUUGAUUGUGAGAUCCUUUUGGAAUCCCGUGUAAGAAUGCCACGAACAUCUCUGUAUCUAGGAGUUAGAAGUUAGACGCGAUGUUGCUUUCUCAGAUUCCAUCUUCUCAUUAAAGAGUAAAGUAGAUCAACCCGUAGUAAAAUCUCCUGAAUUUUAGCUGUAGCGAUAGCACGAGCACACGCUGUAUCACCCUGCAGAGAAGAAUAGAGAAAUUAUUAUACAAAUGGUAAAAGUAGAGAAGGUAGAAUUUGGGGAAGGCAAAUGGGGAGACAAUGCUAUGUCUGACACUAUCCUCAGCUGUAGGAUUGUUUUGACUCGUUAUGUCACUUGCUGAGAAUAAAUGCGCGUGGGAAACUUAUCCUGAACUAGAAGAUGCUGGAAUUAGGGGUGGAGACGGGGUUGGCCAGAAAGUAUUUGCAAACAUUAUUAAUACCUGCUUUUGGACAAUCUCAUUGAGGUUACUGAAAUAUCUUGUUAUUUCUUCGAGGAUAGGAGGAUUUUCAUCAGUCUUUGUAAACUGAAAACAUGAAAGAAUUUGUUAUUGAUACCUUCAUUAUCAAGCAAAGACAGAUUCUGUUACUUAAUAAAUGACUUAAUAGCAUAGUUUAUAAAAUACCAGCAUAUUCGGCAGUGCUGUUCAACUUACACACAUGGCCAAUGCAUUUAUAUGGUAACAAAGAAUUUGUUGGAACUCAUCCCAGGCUGCAAGCUUAUAACCGAUUGUCUUCUGUUGUAACCACGGGGAGUUUCUUAUUUCAAUCAGAACCUUUCUCACAAUGGCUGCAGCUAACCCCUGGAAUAACAAAGACAGACUUUAACAAGUGCAUUAAGGUGAAUACAUUCAGUAUUAAUCAAAUUAAAGCAUUCAUUGUCUUCUUUCAAUGGUUGUGUAGAGACAGGUCAAUACAGCAGGGUCACAAUAUGGUUCUUCAUGAUUAAUAAUGGACUACCUGAGAUUCCUUAGAUGUUACUAAGAUGUUGAAGAUAUUGGGAAGGUUUGGUAGCUCGAGGUCAAAUGGACAAACUUCAAAAACAUCUUCAUCAGAUCUCUAGAAAUAAAAACAGAUUAGUUAGUGAACGUGAAAAAAAUAAAUCAAAAUUUCUAAAUUCAAGAAGUGAAAAGAGAGUGUUAUCCCGAACACACACCAUGGGAAUGAAGCUCUGGAGCAGAUUUCCUAUCUUAGUCUCCUGUGUCGGACUGAGCUGUUUGCAGUUUGGCAAAAAUAUACCCGAAGAAAAGUUCAGCAAAAUUAGAAACAAAAAUUUCAUUUUUAGACACAUUUUCGAAGGAUCUUAUUAUUCGGCAGGAGGUCUGUUCUAAGUUGGGGUCCAUCGUCGCAAGUAUUUAUAACCAGGGUUUAACUUUGGAUUUGUUCUGUGUGGAAUAUCUACACAAUUACUUUAUAUACUUUUAUUCUGUGAAGAGUAUAUUCAACUUUGUUCAAGAUAUUGUUUUUGCUUGCAGAAUAUAUUGUUGUCUGUACUGUUAUUAUGUGACUGCUAUGCUUGCUUGCUUUCAGGUAGUACGAGGCGAGGCUUAGUGGGAAGUCCCUGCCAGUAUCAAUUCUCACACUAGACUGAAAGCUCAGACAUUAACAUUCACCAGCAGAGACGUGAGAGAGAGCACAGUGAACACAGAUUGUGACCAGGGGAAGAUCCGAUGUAAAGGACACCAGGAAAAGACUACAAACAGGACAUUUUUAUCAUAUGAUGGGGCUCUGAUCACAGCUUUUAGUGGGUAUCCUAUUAUACAGCCCUGGCUAAGUGCGAGGAUUAUUAUACAGCCAUGGAUGAGUGAAGCUGUAGUUACAGAGCUGCUGUGCAGAUCGUCUCUGAAUGUUUUCGACAGUGAGACAGUGCUGUACAGUCCUCAUUGCUGGAGACAUUGACCACACAGGAGCCGUUGCUUAUAAUGAACUGCAGGGCGAGUUGGAAUCCACUUCCAAAAGUUUUCAGCUGAUGGUUGUUUCGAGGGAGAUGCAGCGAUCACUGUGUUAAUGUGCCAAACGCAGGCAGUCUGGUUACAUAUUAUGCAAGAAACACAACUCUAAAUUCAAGUUAUAUUUUAAUGAGGUGAAACUGAAGAUCGAUCUAGAUUGCUCAUUCCCAUAGAAAUAGGAUCCUCAACUCCUCUUAUUUGUUUGUCAAAUUUUAUUUUGUCUGUUAGAUGUAUUGUACCUUUGUCUUUUUACUUGUACCAAUUGUAACCAUGAGCAGCAUGGCAGAAUGUGUUGGUGCAUUACAAUAAAAGUAUGAUAAUAGCUCAUCUUGGACAAAAGUAAUGUCUGAAGCUAAAUCUUUCUGGAACAUUUGCCUUUGCACUCAGACUGUGAGUGUGUCUCUCCCAGGGAAUUAUGUGUCUGUCGGCUAGAGCUAUGUGUGAUCAUGAAGCUGCUGAGUGUAGAGUAACAUUGCUCUGUGUCUGUAUCUGUCUGUCAGUGUGAGUUGUGUUUUACAGCCCUGGAUAAGUGAAGCUGCCAUUCACAUUGUCUAUUUGGCACUCAGCCUCCAUCCAGCAGCCCUUGACUGGUGUAUAGUCGCCAUAUGGGCAGUCGGAACCUUGGACAACCAUCCCACAUACCUAUCCCCAAUAACACGCUGACACUAGGAAUAUGGGAAAAAUUGUCCACAGCUUUAUUAACAAACAGAAACGAUACUAAUAAUUUAACAUAUAUAUAACACAUGGGUCAUUGCCCCCCAUCCUCCGCCCUCGCAUCUAUACCUUCAUUAAAUAUCAGGGCAAUGACCCAACAUAAGCAACACAUAAAUAUAUAUAAAUAACGCUUUAACUUUACUCCAACAUGAACCGAUUUGAAUGCAACCAUAAGUAACCACGGUAGGGGUAUACCCAGAUACCCCUACCCCACCAGGUUCUGAGCCACCUCCAGGACUCGAAACCCACCAUCGACCAUUGACCACAAUUCUUCAUGUUCCUCACGUUCCUCAUGGAGAGCCUAUUUUUCCUUCCCUAGCUCUCUAUCCCGCCGCUGUGACAAAACGGGAUAAAAGAAAACAAAACCAUUACAGGGAGGGAGGGUGGGACAAACACAGCUAGGUAGAAAUUAAUGUGCACAUUUUUAAAAUGGCUGCCUAAUAAAUAGCCAGCCCCCAUCCCAUAAUCCCACAGUCCUGCUUGGUCCCUCCUAUGCCCGCCUCCUAACCCCUGUCAAGGCCCUUUUCCGCUAAGCUGCGCUCUGGCUACAUGGGGCUACAUAACUGGUGUAUAGUCGCCAUAUGGGCAGGCGGAACCUUGGACAACCAUCCCACAUACCUAUCCCCAAUAACACGCUGACACUAGGAAUAUGGGAAAAAUUGUCCACAGCUUUAUUAACAAACAGAAACGAUACUAAUAAUUUAACAUAUAUAUAACACAUGGGUCAUUGCCCCCCAUCCUCCGCCCUCGCAUCUAUACCUUCAUUAAAUAUCAGGGCAAUGACCCAACAUAAGCAACACAUAAAUAUAUAUAAAUAACGCUUUAACUUUACUCCAACAUGAACCGAUUUGAAUGCAACCAUAAGUAACCACGGUAGGGGUAUACCCAGAUACCCCUACCCCACCAGGUUCUGAGCCACCUCCAGGACUCGAAACCCACCAUCGACCAGUGACCACAAUUCUUCAUGUUCCUCACGUUCCUCAUGGAGAGCCUAUUUUUCCUUCCCUAGCUCUCUAUCCCGCCACAAGCUCGGACCUUGACCCCUCAAGCCGACCGAGCUCCGCCACCCCGAAGAAAGAGAGCCCUCUGCAUCCCCUCCUGCAAACCCAAGUUCAGCAAAUCCAGACCCACCGCUGAAAGAUGAACACCGUCCGUGUGGUAAUAACCCGGCAGCCCGCCUUCCAAUUCUACGUGCCUCACUACCACGCCCCCCAAUUUCCUCACGAAGCUUGCCAUCAAGCUGUUAACUUUUCCCCUGCAUCUGUCGAUGGCCACUGGGUCCCUCGCGUGUCGCCACCGACGCCUCGGAACGAUCUCAGACCACACCAGCAUCACCCCGGGAAGCAGAUCGAACAACCUGUUCAGGUCCUGCUUCAUCCAUUUAACUAACUGACGUUGCGGGAUGAGGCCCAGGUCAUUGCCCCCCGCGUGCAGAACUAGCAUAUCUGGCCUCGCCCCGCCUGCUACCAUCCGAAUUAUCGCCCCGCACACGUCGCCCCAGCCAAACCCCUUAAAGCCCAACCAUCGCACUGUUAGGAGGUCUUUCGGGAAGCCCAGCUGUUGGCCCUGGGCUCGAGCUGCAGCUCUCUGUCCGGCCCAAACGAUGAAGGAAUGGCCCACAAUCCAUGCGACACAACCUGGGGAAGAAGGGAAACAACGUAAACACCCAUACCCAUACCGGGGCCCUCCCCCCGACCGAUACAGCCCGCAUCACUGAUCCAACAAACCCAUGUGCACAUACGUGCGGAACCGAGCGGAUUCCCAUCUCCCAAUCCUUUUGACUAACUCGUCCCCCAUGCCCAGACGCGCGGCCUCAGUGGCCGCCCCUAUGUGAAAGGAAUGCGUCCCGUAGGCAGCAGCACUCAACCCCAACGCCCCCAGACCCAAUCGGAACACCUUAGUAAAUUGGAAACGAGAGAGCGAGGAGCCAUCGGCAUGAACCAAUAAAGACCCCCCGAGAACCGAGCCACAGCCGCAACUGGGCACAGUGAUGACCCGGGCAGGGGACCCAGCGUCACAUCCCGGCCCUUUUCCCAUGACGUCCGUUUUGGAUGUAGCCAGGUAUACCACCAGGUUCCCAGCGAUCAUGCGAACACCGGAUACCUGCAGACCCCCCGACCCCGACCGCGUGGCGCUCACCAAUUCCCCUAUCCGGAAUGCCCCAAAGAAGGCCAAGAGAAAGGCUGUCCUGAACAGGGCUACCUCAAACCCGUCAAAGCAGAUUCCGGGAAGCACGUGGAGUAAAUUCCCAAGCACCCGAACCGAGACCGGGCGCCUAGCAUCCGGUACCCUCCGGCCCCUCCGAUACCCCUUGAGAGCCUGCCUAAUGACAAACGCUUUCGUGAGGUCCUCCCACCCGUGGAAUUUGAACCAAAAGGCCAUCGCCGCCAUGGUCCUAUCAACCAUUGCUGGGGACACACCUUUUGCCAGCAAUUGAAAAAUGAACCACAGGAAGGCGUCCUGCGACGAUUCCACCUGUGGCCCCUGGCCCAGCCCCUCCCAGGAACGUUCCCAGGCACCCCAAACCUUACUGUAUGCGGUCCAUGUGGCAGGUGCCAGCGAAGCCCUCACAAGUCCCCCAAGCAUGAUGCUCCGAGCUGCCACAUCUCGUCCGGGCACGCCUGCCCGGUCUCCUGAGCCUCCGGAGCCGCCAACCGAAACCGGGACCACUGAAAACGAGACAGAGCAUCAGCCACCUCGUUCAAAUACCCGGGCACGUGACGCGCGCGAAAAACUACAUUAAGGGACAUGCAAAGCAAAACAAAACGUCGCAAUAGUGUCACCACCGGUUUGGAUGCUGCCGACUGGUUAUUGACGGCAUGCACCACCGACAUAUUGUCAGAGAAGAAGACUACUUUGCGGUCCCGGAGACAAUCCCCCCACAGGGCCAAUGCCACUACCAACGGGAACAGCUCCAGAAAAGCCAAGUUCCGUAUGAGGGGGCUUCGCCCCCACGCCUCCGGCCACUUCUGAGCACACCAUCUCCCCCUGAAGUAGGCCCCGAAACCCACGCUACCCGAUGCGUCGGUGAACAGCUCCAAUUCGGCCGUAGACACACCCUCCUGACGGAAGAACACCGUCCCAUUAAAGUCUUGCAAAAAUACCUUCCAGACGUCCAGGUCAGCCCUCAUUGAGGAAGAGACCCGAACGAAAUGGUGUGGAGAACCGACCCCCGCCGUGGCUGCCGACAGGCUGCGGCUGAACACCCUACCCAUGGGUAUCACCCUGCAGGCAAAGUUGAGCAUCCCGAUCAAUGAUUGUAGCUGCCGCAGGGUCACCUUACGCGCCCGCUGCACCGCGGCCACCGCACUGCGCAGUCCGCACAACUUAGUCAGAGGCAGCCGACAUUCCCCACGCACCGAAUCUAUCUCUAAACCCAGAAAGCUGAGACACUCGGUCGGGCCCUCAGUCUUGUCCGCCGCCAACGGCACCCCGAAGUGGCCCGCCACCCACUCCACUGUCCGCAACAGGUGCCGGCAGGCGGGAGAACCCGCCGGCCCUACGCAGAGAAAGUCAUCUAAAUAAUGCACCACUGCUUCGUUCCCCGACUCCAUCCGCACCACCCAUUCGAGAAAGGUACUGAACUUCUCAAAAUAGGAGCACGAAAUGGAGCAGCCCAUCGGGAGACAUAAGUCGACGAAGUAACCCCCCUCGAAGAAGCACCCCAGUAGGUGGUGACAAGCCGGAUGAACCGGAAGCAAGCGAAAAGCAGCUUCGAUAUCCACCUUGGCCAGUAAAGCCCCACGCCCGGCCCUCUUAACCAGCUCGACCGCCUGGUCGAAUGAUGCAUAAGAGACCGAGCACAAUUCCCCAUCGAUAUCGUCAUUCACCGACGCUCCCCUAGGAUAGGACAGGUGAUGAAUGAGCCGAAACUUCCCGAUCUCCUUCUUGGGAACCACCCCUAAUGGUGACACCCUAAGGCUCUCAAUCGGCGGCGCUGAGAAUGGACCUGCCAUCCUGCCCAACCGCACCUCCUUACUAAGCUUCUCCCGGACCACAUCCGGAAAUUCCCUUACCGAUUUCAGAUUACGCGUACACAACGAACCCUCCCUCGCUCGGAAGGGGAUGAAAAACCCCUGUCCAAACCCCGACCUAAGCAGUUCUGCGUCCCCCUCAUUACCGUAGCGGCUUAGCCAGGGUUCCAUCGCGUCGAGCCUCACCGGGGUUCGGCCCCGGGGCAGCAGCUGUCCCACUGCCCCCGGGCGCUGGAGGAGCUCCGGCUCCGCCCGACUUACCUUUCUUAUAGCAUCUCUGGAGCCCAUGAGUCCCCCCGCAGCCCGCGCAUUCAUGCUUGAAGCGGCAGGCCGCCCCCCACUUGCACUGACCUUCGUUGAACGACCAGCAUAAGCCCUUCUGCAAGGCGGCCGACGAGGCGGACUGUCCCUUUGCGCCAGCCGCGUGCUGAAAGGGCUGUGCCUUCUGCGCCAUCAUCAGCUUCAUCCACAGGGGCAGGUCCAUUUGGUCCCACCUCAUCCCAGGAUUGGCCGCCAAGCGUUGCCGGAACUGCUCGUCGUACCGCCACCAGGCCAGCCCGCCAUAGGUGCGAUACGCUUCCCAGAUCCCAUCUAAGUAACAGAAUAGGGAAGAGCAAGAACUCGGCGAUUUCUCCCCUAUCACACUGGCUAGGACGCAGAAGGCCCUCAGCCAGUUCCCGAAGGACUUCGGUAUCUUUCGAUACCGCUUCCGUUUUUCCUCCUCCUCCUUCUUUUCGUCCUUCUUAUCCUCCUCCUUGAGGUCAAUGAAGUCCUCCAGAGGAAGAAGGGAGAAUAUCUCACAGAACUCCCCCUUCCAAAUUUUUUCUUUCGCCUCCUGCUUGAGGUGCACCCCCAGCGGGCCCGCAAAUGACACGUAAGCAUGCUGCCUGGCCACGUCCGACACUCCUCCCGACAAUUCCGCCCGUUCGCACCCCACCUCUCCCGGGCUGGACUCCACACCCGCCUCCCAGCUGGGCUCGGCUACCACGGGAGCCCCGCUAGCAUGCCCCACCUCGCCGGACCCUCGCGUCCAAACCUGACCUACAUCGCCCGAAGUGCCACCCCCCGCCCCCAAUGAGUGGAGCAGUGACUGAAGUGUUUGAACUAGUGUAUUGGACCCAAGGGGGCCUCUGGACUCACCGGCCAAGCCCCUCGAUCCGUCCGUACCCGGGGCUGCAUUGUCAACCGCUGCGUGACCUGGAUGCGCAACAUCCGCCGACGUCCCGCCAACCAGGGAGCCCACCUGGUGCCUCGAUAACGUGGAAGACGAACGGCUCGGAGACCUGAAAUGAGGAGAAGACAUCCUGGGCAGGGGGUAGUGCUCUCCGGCUCCCCUCCCGUCCCGACCCAGGGAGCGCCUGCCUGCUACCAAGGCCUCCCGCCGUGCACCACUCUCCCGCUGCCCCCCGUGAGCCCGUUCCCCCCCGCCCCGGGGACUCCGACUCCUACCCUCAGCCCUCGCCGCCCUCUCCUGCCGCCCCCGCCCUAAUGACCCUGACCUGGCCUCUACCGAACUUCCCGAGGGAGAACGCCUGCACCGGGCCCCCCUUUUUUCCCGCGCCCUGAGGGACCUCACGUCCCUCACAGGUGAAGAACCAACGCUGCUAGAGUCCGACCCGGAGCUGUCACCAGACCCCCCACCUUCCGACCCACUAGACACGGCCUCUGGACCCGCAUAGCCCCCCCCAGCCCCAGCGCCUCCCCGCCUCUGGAAGUGGCCCCCUGACACCCCCCGCCCCCUACGCUUCACCGCCCUCUUACCAACCCCCCCCUUUCCAACUACCGCCCCUACCUCCCUCACCCGACCCGCUGACCCCCCAGGCACCCCCAGGGACCCCCCCUGUGCCCCCAGCAGCCCUACCACAGAGCCCCCCCCACUCCCUCCCUCACUAGGGCCCUGAGAGCUCCCCUGGGUCCCCCCAGAAGGUCCCCCCCCAGCCACCUGAGCCUCCCACUUCUAGCCCCAGGCAUACUACCUCUGUGCUUCGCGGGCCUCUGCUGGGCCUCACGCCAAGGGACCUGCGCCUCGUAAUUUCUGCUCUGUCUUGCCUGCCCGGGGCGCUUCUGCUUUCUUAAUUGCCUGGUAUGCCUUUACCGCUGUACGCCGCUGCUUGCUUGCUUGCUGCAUGCUGUGCGCUCGCUGCUUCGCGCGCUAAAUUGCCUAGGCGCGCUGCUUGCUGCUGCCCGCUGGAGUUUCGCUGCUGGUGUUUCGGCUGGAUGCUGGAAGCGAGUGUUACUGGCGUUUCUGUGUUUGCUAUGUGUUUUCUUCCUUGUGCUGCUGGACUGCUAUAGUGGGCUCGCUGGAGCUCUUCAAGCGCCGUGGUGGCCUCCUGGCACGCGCCGGGCGACCGCCGCCGCCAUCUGCUGCCGCUAACAGGGGGCCCAGGUGCAUCUUCGCCCAGCCUGGGCCCUGUUGCCGCGCCGCCAUCCGGAUCCCAUCCAGGAGCCGCUCCACCUCUUCCAUGGCCCUGCAGAGGAGACAAAAGAGAAAAGCCUACCUAGCAGGUCAGUGAACCAAAAGGCAACACAAACACAGCUAGGUAGAAAUUAAUGUGCACAUUUUUAAAAUGGCUGCCUAAUAAAUAGCCAGCCCCCAUCCCAUAAUCCCACAGUCCUGCUUGGUCCCUCCUAUGCCCGCCUCCUAACCCCUGUCAAGGCCCUUUUCCGCUAAGCUGCGCUCUGGCUACAUGGGGCUACAUUACCAACAGUCAAUUUGAAGCAGAGACAAAGAAAAGGGAAAACUCAUUACAGAACACCAUACAUUGUACUAAUCAUUUUCUCUUCUAUUCUAAGACAGCAUAAACUGCCACCAUUCCACUUUUACUAUAAAAUAUCAGUGCACGUGCUACACACACAAACACACACUGCAUGUGCUAUGCAGCUCAUCGCACCCACUACGCAACUCAUUGCAUGCGAUACACAACACAAUUUGUAAGAGUUGCGUAUCACACACUGGGUGUGCUACACACGUUAUAAUGACACACUACAUGCGCCACGCAAAACACACAUUGUGUCCAAAAAUUCCUAAAGUGAAAAGAACAGCCAUUGAUAAAUAUAAAAAAAAAUACAUGUGUGCACAAACCACAGUGCAAUAAGUGCUCAAUUAGAUAUAAGCAGAAAGAAACCUCCCUGUGUAGGGUGAAGCUUCCAAUUGUAUCCCCAAAGACUUCCUCCUGCCUUCCACGAAAUAUAAGCAAAAAAAUAUAACAUACAUCCCUUUGAUCCAUGGAGGUUUGAAUACAGAUGGAAGAAUCUAAUUGAAUCCUGAGAAGGAAUUUAUGCUUAAGGCUUUCUAAUUUCAGUGAAUGUGUGAGUGGCCAUUUGUGAAUACAACACUUGUGGUUUAUUCAUAUACACAGUUAUACACUGCGUUGUUUUGUUUGUCAUUGGUUUAGCAAAUCAUCCCCUAUUUUUUGCUUCUAUUGAUAAAUAUAAAUUAGAUCCACAAAGAGAGGGAAAUCUAAUUGAUCUUAGUCCAAAAGAAAGAAAAAUAAUGAUAUAGAGAUGAAUUACUAAAACAUAGUGGACUCUUACAAAGAAGCUUGUUAUUAAAACCCAAGUUGACAAGCUUAAACUGAGAGGGUGAGUCCUAAAAGUCCAUACUGGUCUACCACUAGCCCACCGAAUUUAGAUUUCAAUUAGAUCAUUAUUUUAUUAGACGGCCUCUGCCGCCGCCGCCGCCGCCGCCGCCGCUGCCACAACCACGACCAUCUAUUACUGAACCUUCUAACUUUAAGACCCAAAAAUUGUUAGAGGACAGUUUUCUUGGAUGGUGACAGGUGCCACCACCGCUGCCACCGCCAUCACAGCUGCCACCACCAUCUAGCACUGCACUUUCUAACUUUAAGUCCCAAAAAUUGUUAGAGGACAGAUUUCUUGGAAGGCGACGCCUGCCGCCAACACGGCCGCCACCGCCGUCGCUGCCGCUACCACCACGACCAUAUAGUACUGACGUGUCGGCGGCGGCGGUGGCCGUCACUGUCUAUUAAAAUAAUUAUCUAAUUGAAGACAAAACACAGUGUUCUAGUGGUAGACCAGUAUGGACUUUUAGGACUCACCAGCUUCUUUGUAAGAGUCCACUAUGUUUUAGUAAUUAAUCUCUAUAUCAUUCUGUGGAUUAUCUUCAGGCCUGUUCUACAUACUAAUAUUAUGUGCGGAAUAUAAUUGUAGAUUAUGCUAGCUUUAGUGUACCUAUAAUCUUAAUUUUAUUAAUGACAGGAGGCGAGUAUUUGCUUUAGUCUCUCUUUACUAGAACUCCACAGCAGCACAGAAAAACAACCAAUCAGAAAAAAGUUAGGUACUAUAAAACCAUUGCAUCAUUUCCUCUUUCAAGCUGCGACAAAACAGAACAAAGGCAGAAAAAAUAAUGGGAAGCAACGAAUUCCAGAUACGAUGAAUACAGCAAUGUCCAACGUCUGAGAAGAACUGUCAACCGGAUAGCGUUGAAGGACUGAAAAUAAGUCAAUGCCCACCAUCCAUGAAGAAGUGCCACGCCAGAUAGUGGUGAAGGACUGGAAACUGAAACGAGAGAAAAAACAGAAUCGAACAGGUUGAUUAUCCAAUGAAAAGUAUUUUGAAUAAACUUGUAGAUAACCAAUGUAGCAAACGAAAUAUGUAGAUAUCCCAACCUUACUUAUGAAAAACAGACAUAAGGACAGGUGACAGGUAGCAGAAACAACAAGCAGAGUUGUAUACGUACCUGAUAAAUCCAAACUAUAAAAUUAAACAAGGGAGGGAUAAGAAUGGGUGGGAAAUACUCGCCUCCUGUCAUUAAUAAAAUUAAGAUUAUAGGUACACUAAAGCUAGCAUAAUCUACAAUUUUAUAACAUGACAGGAGGCUUCGUAUUUGCUGUUUUAACGCUCAGCCAACAAAUCCAACGCUGCUUGUUUCGCUGGUACCCAUUCCGAGAAUAUUAGAGCAAUCCUAAAUGGACCUUCCAACUGCGAGAAGUGACCUCCAUUGAUAGAUCCAUUGUACGUGGGGUUACAACCUGUUCCCUAGCAGUCGGUCCAUGGGCUGUCAAGUUGACCUAUUAGCCAUAGUCCUGUAGGUGUAAAGUGCCGAGGGGUCGCGAGAAGAGACUUCCACCGUGUCUCGACUCUUGAUGUGGGAGGUGAUUCCUCCGAUCGUGUCAGGUUCACCAGGCGAUGUGCCUUGCAGACAAACUCCAACCUCAGGCCUGCGCCUAAGUCCACCGUCAAUACUCGAAUAGAGCCGAAUAGUGUCUAUUCGUUCCUUUAUGACCUACCUGGUGAAUGGUCUCCUCUGAAAUCAAGUUAUAUACAGAUAAUAGUGAGGACCAUACUAGCCGUAUCCUAAGAGACUCCAGUCUACCAACUGGACUGCGUAAUCCACGGCUGCGGUCUAGAAAAGACCUCCAAAGGGUGUCCAAUCAAGGUCUCAAACUGAACUCGUGUGGUAACGGUGGUCAACUAUUCUGAGAAUUGUGGAUCCUGGAAAGCUCAAAGGGAUGGGACUGGAAACUGGAGUUGAGAUUUCUAUCCCAAUACAUCAUCCUCUAAGAGUGCUAAGAUGGCCGGAUCCAAUAGAGUUUAGGACCCGUAUAACACAGAAAAGCCCUUGCGUGUUGCAGUGAGAGUGUGAGAUACUCUGAUUACCAUUUGUACAAUCCUGUUCCAUGCCCGACCUGUCAAUAUUCGUGUAGGGGUUCCUACAAGAUAGGGAAUAAUCUAGUGAGACCCCUAGGUUCCUGUCUCAUAGACUGUCCAAGCAUGUAACUCCCAGUGUAUGUUUCCUUGAUGGUAGUUGAAUAGGAAGGCUAGUGAGAACCCAAACCAAGAUGGUUCCCAUGAUGGAUAUAGACUCCGAACACUGUUCUCAAGGUGUGUUCAGAGUUGUAGGAGCAGUCCUGACAACUUUAUCUCAAGAUUGUAAGGACCAGGGAGCUAAGUCCUGAGAAUUUCGGUUUCUCCAUGCGAUCCAUGCAUACGGUGCCCCUGAAGACAGUUCAUGUGAAUUUUCCAGUCUUGUUACUCGAGCAAGGCAGUGCCCGUUUGCCCUAUGCAGGUCUCAGGGUCUCAUGUCACCCUGACACGGGAGAAUAGACUGCACAGUUUGUACACAACAAAUAUCUGAAACAGAGUGCAAUGUCAGUUUGAUAUAGCACAGGUUAUACCAAAACCUGUACUCUUGUAAGAACUGAGGCUCCUCCUUAGUCGUACUGUCUCCUGGAAUGUGUGUACAUAAGUGGGAAACCUCCCCCACUAAUACCUCUGAGGGCAUUUCUCAUGUGGAUACAAGAUGGAUCCAGUCAAACUAUGUAUACCUUGCCCGAUGAGGUAGCCCUCUAGAACAAAAUCAGUAGCGUGGUCAUCAUAUUUAAAUUGGGUGUAGGAGGGACGCCCCUCUAUGCGGUCAUAGUUGACCUGUACAGGUACAAGCCUGUGUGAGGAACAAAUGGACGGCACCAUAGUGCGUUGAGUGUAUGAGAGAGUCGCACUCUGUAAAAUGUUAUCGCACUCUGAGUCCGCGCACGGUUGGUGGUAUGAGUGGACCGCACCCGUUAGAAGUCAAACUUAGAGUCUACCUCUGUGUCCGGUUCCAUCUAUGAGAAUGAGUCACUCUGAGCAUGUCCUCUAUAUCCAGCUCAGUAUCGGGCCGAGGUUGAGGGAGGGCCGCGCCCUCUAAUAAUGAAUCAGUGUCCGAUUCGGUAAAUGAGAGGGGUUCGCCCUCUACUCUUUAAAAUAAAAAUAUCCGUCUCGGGCCGAGGUGAAGGAGGGCCGCACCCUCUGUAAUCCAAACCAGAGUCCAGUAGAGACUCAGGGUGACCAAACGUGGGGUUACACCCUUAUUUAAUAUAAGCAAAGUAUACAACCUCGGGCCGUGUCCUACCUUAAGAGAAAGGGAUGAUGAGAAAAAUAAGUUUCGGAGCUGAAGAUGGUAACUAUCAACGGACCGCCCGGAUCCCGUGCGUGCGCGCGGGCUCCAGGAUGACCGUCGGUAGUCUGAGGAAAGCUGGAGACGUUCUCCGCAAUCCACAAGUGCCCGGGAGGUCGGAGGAGGUCAUAUCAGGCCUCCCGACGACCCGAGCGAUAGGACAAUAGAAGGCACGAAAAACAAAGAAACAACCAAUGAAGUAGAAAAUGGAAAAUACGUACCUCAGAAAGCCAGUCAGAUAGCAGACUGGAAAAAAAUGAAUCAAGCGAAUCCAGUUGAAAAGGUCAAGAGCUAAACAUGACAUAGAAAAACACUACCAAUACCUAAUAUGGCGUCUGAGCACUGUUCCCUGCUUGCGCGAAUUCCCCUUGGAGAUGUGUCGUCGUUGGGUAUAACCCGUAAUUGCGUGCCCGUGAAUUCUCAUAAAAACUUUGCCCUUCAGGGCAUGAGGUGUAGGGCCUUCACCCUUCCAAUCACAGUUAGAUGUCCAUAUCCUGGUGUCCUCUUGGAUAAUCUGGCAGCAGUGCCUGUCCGGACACCUACCUAGAGGGUACUGAGCUUACUUCAGUGAUAUUCCCCCCGGUUUGUGGUCCAAAGGGGGGUUCGGGUACAGGAAGAGCAGGCCAAUCUUAUGGGCACAGCCGAAGCAGGCCAAUCUUAUGGGCACAGACGUAGCAGGCCAAUCUUAUGGGCACAGCCAAAGCAGGCCAAUCUUAUGGGCACAGCCAAAGCAGGCCAAUCUUAUGGGCACAGCCGUAGCAGGCCAAUUUUAUGGGCACAGCCAAAGCAGGCCAAUCUUAUGGGCACAGCCGUAGCAGGCCAAUCUUAUGGGCACAGCCGUAGCAGGCCAAUCUUAUGGGCACAGACGUAGCAGGCCAAUCUUAUGGGCACAGCCGUAGCAGGCCAAUCUUAUGGGCACAGACGUAGCAGGCCAAUCUUAUGGGCACAGACAUAGCAGGCCAAUCUUAUGGGCACAGACAUAGCAGGCCAAUCUUAUGUUUCAUAUUAAAUGAGUAAUGGGGACCUCUGAGAUUGGCAGAGUCCCCUAAAUAUCUGUAAAUCCUCCAGUCAUCCUGUGACCUAGUACCCUUAGACACUAAUCUUGGACAGCGUACUACUGUGUAAAUAAACCGUAACCGGCGGUCCCUAAGUGCCCAGCAGGCAACAUAGAGGUAAAACCAGUUGUAUUGGGUUUGAGCUGGACAUGUUCCAGUGAGUGUCCAUAAAAUCGAGCUCUGCUGAGCAAUACCCUCUUUUAAGUGUAAAUUGUAAUGCACAUGUACAUACAGAUCCGUAUGAGAUAUCUUAUCUUUAUUGUAGGUCAUCAUCAUCAUCGUACCGGGCACAUAAAUCUCACAAGCAAGCAUAAUUAAUAACAAUCAUAAAUAAAUAACACUAAAUCCUAAAGCCACCCACUAUAAGCAGGAGGCAGUGGUACUCUGACCUGUACUGACUGCGGAGCAGCAAAGAAAGAGGAAAUGAUGCAAUGGGAAGGGGGUUUUAUAGAACCUAACUGUUUUCUGAUUGGUUGUUUUUCUGUGCUGCUGUGGAGUUCUAGUAAAGAGAGACUAAAGCAAAUACGAAGCCUCCUGUCAUGUUAUAAAAUUCAGAUUGCCUUUCUUCUCUACACGAUAUAUUGAGGUUUACAUUUCCUGAAUGACUAAUCGAGAGCGUUUGUUUUUUGUUGCAAAAAGCUUCCUGCUUGUGUUGCCAGUGAAGGCAGCUCCACAGGACUACAUGCCUCUCCUCCCUCCCACACACAAUAUAUGUAGAAUCUUUUUAUGCAAAGACAUAUUUCUCUAAUGUGUAUAUCUCAAUGUAAAUCUCCCUUUUUCUUGGUGACUAGCGAUGCUGCUGAAAGUCUGAACAACACAUGACUUUGUAUUAAAAAUACACAAUUACUUGGAUUUUUUAUGUCAGUUAUUGACUUUGUAAGUGGUGUCAUAUUCUGGAUAAAAGAUAGUCAAAGAGAAGAACUGUCUCCUUUCUUGGCUCUGCCACCACUUAGGGCACCCCUUCUUGUUUAGAGCAGGAAUGGCCAUGACUCCAGGGGCCCUGUGAGGGGUCGACGUUUAGACUCGUAUUACCACCCAAACUGCGCAUUACUUUUUAGGAACUAUUCCAGUUCUCAUCUUUGAGUGCUGACCGAGGUACAACACAUUUCUAGAGACCACCAAUAUUAUAUUACAAAUUUUCCCUUCUAAACUAAGACAGUUUGAAAUCCAACCUUGAAAUUUGGAGCGUCAAAUAGCAUAGUUUUUUCCAGUGUAUUUAUAUUGCACAAAAAACAACUUCACAAAUUAUCAGCUUAUACAAAGUUUAUUUUCUCAAAGUAGCAUUCUCAGAGUAAGAAAUGUUGCGAGAUAAUUCUCGGUUGUACAUGUUAUAUUCAUAUUUCUUGUCCACUGUUCAGUUCAUAGUAUUUGGUUCAUGGUUUCUUAAUGACUAUGUGAUUUUGAUUGUGAGAUCCUUUUGGAAUCCCAUGUAAGAAUGCCACGAACAUCUCUGUAUCUAAGAGUUAGACGCGAUGUUGCUUUCUCAGAUUCCAUCUUCUCAUUAAAGAGUAAAGUAGAUCAACCCGCAGUAAAAUCUCCUGAAUUUUAGUUGUAGCGAUAGCACGAGCACACGCUGUAUCACCCUGCAGAGAAGAAUAGAGAAAUUAUUAUACAAAUGGUAAAACUAGAGAAGGUAGAAUUUGGGGAAGGCAAAUGGGGAGACAAUGCUAUGUCUGACACUAUCCUCAGCUAUAUGAUUGUUUUGACUCGUUACAUCACUUGCUGAGAAUAAAUGCACGUGGGAAAUGUAACCUGAACUAGAAGAUGCUGGAAUUAGGGGUGGAGACGGAUUUGGCCAGAAAGUAUCUGCAAACAUUAUUAAUACCUGCUUUUGGACAAUCUCAUUGAGGUUACUGAAAUAUCUUGUUAUUUCUUCGAGGAUAGGAGGAUUUUCAUCAGUCGUUGUAAACUGAAAACAUGAAAGAAUUUGUUAUUGAUACCUUCAUUAUCAAGCAAAGACAGAUUCUGUUACUUAAUGAAUGACUUACUAGCAUAGUUUAUAAAAUACCAGCAUAUUCAGCAGUGCUGUACAACUUACACACAUGGCCAAUGCAUUUAUAUGGUAACGAAGAAUUUGUUGGAACUCAUCCCAGGCUGCAAGCUUAUAACCGAUUGUCUUCUGUUGUAACCACGGGGACUUUCUUAUUUCAAUCAGAACCUUUCUCACAAUGGCUGCAGCUAACCCCUGGAAUAACAAAGACAGACUUUAACAAGUGCAUUAAGGUGAAUACAUUCAGUAUUAAUCAAAUUAAAGCAUUCAUUGUCUGCCUUCAAUGGUUGUGUAGAGACAGGUCAAUACAGCAGGGUCACAAUAUGGUUCUUCAUGAUUAAUAAUGGACUACCUGAGAUUCCUUAGAUGUUACUAAGAAGUUGAAGAUAUUGGGAAGGUUUGGUAGCUCGAGGUCAAAUGGACAAACUUCAAAAACAUCUUCAUCAGAUCUCUAGAAAUAAAAACAGAUUAGUUAGUGAACGUGAAAAAAAAAAUCAAAAUUUCUAAAUUCAAGAAGUGAAAAGAGAGUGUUAUCCCGAACACACACCAUGGGAAUGAAGAUCUGGAGCAGAUUUCCUAUCUUAGUCUCCUGUGUCGGACUGAGCUGUUUGCAGUUUGGCAAAAAUAUACCCGAAGAAAAGUUCAGCAAAAUUAGAAACAAAAAUUUCAUUUUUAGACACAUUUUCGAAGAAUCUUAUUAUUCGGCAGGAGGUCUGUUCUAAGUUGGGGUCCAUCGUCGCAAGUAUUUAUAACCAGGGUUUAACUUUGCAUUUGUUCUGUGUGGAAUAUCUACACAAUUACUUUAUAUACUUUUAUUCUGUGAAGAGUAUAUUCAACUUUGUUCAAGAUAUUGUUUUUGCUUGCAGAAUAUAUUGUUGUCUGUACUGUUAUGUGACUGCUAUGCUUGCUUGCUUUCAGGUAGUACGAGGCGAGGCUUAGUGGGAAGUCCCUGCCAGUAUCAAUUCUCACACUAGACUGAAAGCUCAGACAUUAAACAAUUCACCAGCAGAGACGUGAGAGAGAACACAGUGAACACAGAUUGUGACCAGAGGAAGAUCCGAUGUAAAGGACACCAGGAAAAGACUACAAACAGGACAUUUUUAUCAUAUGAUGGGGCUCUGAUCACAGCUUUUAGUGGGUAUCCUAUUAUACAGCCCUGGCUAAGUGCGAGGAUUAUUAUACAGCCAUGGAUGAGUGAAGCUGUAGUUACAGAGCUGCUGUGCAGAUCGUCUCUGAAUGUUUUCGACAGUGAGACAGUGCUGUACAGUCCUCAUUGCUGGAGACAUUGACCACACAGGAGCCGUUGCUUAUAAUGAACUGCAGGGCGAGUUGGAACCCACUUCCAAAGGUUUUCAGCUGAUGGUUGUUUUGAGGGAGAUGCAGCGAUCACUGUGUUAAUGUG